CAGGCCUUCGCAAGAUGGCGGCUGGAGGCAAGGGCAGAGGCCUUCAGAGCGUUUUCUUUUUCCCUUUCCUCCCUUCCUGCAAACAAUGUGGCUACAGUUUAACUGGAAGUGACAAACUGAGGAAACUGAGGCACUGGAAGAUGAAGGCUACAGAGGUAGAAAGUGAUGGAGUGAUGCCUGGAGACGGGAAUGUCUGGAAUCUUAGAGGAAGGAAUCACACACCGACAAGCAUGGCAGGCUUAGUCUUUGAAACUUAAUCAGAGCCUGAGAUACAUCCAGAAGACUGCAUUACAAUUUCAAAUCAAAGCUGGACAAGUUUUUUUUUUUUUUUACACAGAUAUCACCAUGUUAGAAAAGUUGGACAAGUUUUGAAACCAUUCUGAACCUAUCAUUCCUGUCUUUCAAAUCCUUCCAAGGCA
rnacentral:lncRNA from 10 species